AUUGAACGCUGGCGGCAGGCCUAACACAUGCGAGUCGAGCGGAUGAAGGGAGCUUGCUCCUGGAUUCAGCGGCGGACGGGUGAGUAAUGCCUAGGAAUCUGCCUGGUAGUGGGGGAUAACGUCCGGAAACGGGCGCUAAUACCGCAUACGUCCUGAGGGAGAAAGUGGGGGAUCUUCGGACCUCACGCUAUCAGAUGAGCCUAGGUCGGAUUAGCUAGUUGGUGGGGUAAAGGCCUACCAAGGCGACGAUCCGUAACUGGUCUGAGAGGAUGAUCAGUCACACUGGAACUGAGACACGGUCCAGACUCCUGCGGGAGGCAGCAGUGGGGAAUAUUGGACAAUGGGCGAAAGCCUGAUCCAGCCAUGCCGCGUGUGUGAAGAAGGUCUUCGGAUUGUAAAGCACUUUAAGUUGGGAGGAAGGGCAGUAAGUUAAUACCUUGCUGUUUUGACGUUACCAACAGAAUAAGCACCGGCUAACUUCGUG
rnacentral:rRNA from 1 species